AUUGAACGCUGGCGGCAGGCCUAACACAUGCAAGUCGAACGGUAACAGAAAGCAGCUUGCUGCUUUGCUGACGAGUGGCGGACGGGUGAGUAAUGUCUGGGAAACUGCCUGAUGGAGGGGGAUAACUACUGGAAACGGUAGCUAAUACCGCAUAACGUCGCAAGACCAAAGAGGGGGAGCUUCGGGCCUCUUGCCAUCGGAUGUGCCCAGAUGGGAUUAGCUAGUAGGUGGGGUAACGGCUCACCUAGGCGACGAUCCCUAGCUGGUCUGAGAGGAUGACCAGCCACACUGGAACUGAGACACGGUCCAGACUCCUACGGGAGGCAGCAGUGGGGAAUAUUGGACAAUGGGCGCAAGCCUGAUGCAGCCAUGCCGCGUGUAUGAAGAAGGCCUUCGGGUUGUAAAGUACUUUCAGCGGGGAGGAAGGGAGUAAAGUUAAUACCUUUGCUCAUUGACGUUACCCGCAGAAGAAGCACCGGCUAACUCCGUG
rnacentral:rRNA from 1 species